rnacentral:rRNA from 1 species
UACGGAGGGUGCAAGCGUUAUCCGGAUUCACUGGGUUUAAAGGGUGCGUAGGCGGCUAAAUAAGUCAGUGGUGAAAGCUUACAGCUUAACUGUGAAACUGCCAUUGAAACUGUUUAGCUUGAAUCUGGUUGAAGUGGGCGGAAUACAUCAUGUAGCGGUGAAAUGCUUAGAUAUGAUGUAGAACACCGAUUGCGAAGGCAGCUCACUAAGCCAACAUUGACGCUGAGGCACGAAAGCGUGGGGAGCAAACAGG